rnacentral:rRNA from 1 species
UACAGAGACCUCAAGCGUUAUCCGGUUUCAUUGGGCGUAAAGCGUUCCGAUCGGUUGCUAAGUAUGUCUAAAGUGAAAGGCCGAGGCUUAACCUCGUGUUUGCUUUAGAAACUGCUAAGCUAGAAUAGUCAAGAGGUAGCCGGAACUCUGCAAGUAGGAGUGAAAUCCGUUGAUAUGCAGGGGAACACCUAAAGCGAAGGCAAGCUACUGGGGACUUAUUGACACUGCUAGGACGAAAGCGUGGGGAGCAAAACGG